GAGUAUUCUAGGUUGUGUAUUUUCCAUCAAGAGCAAACAUUUUUCAUUUAAAAAGAAUGUUCUUAUUUCUUCUGGAUAUUAUUCUUCUUACAUUCUAAUAAAAUGUUUUAUAAAUGAUUAGAAAAUCACAGACUCAGUGCUAGAAAAGCCCUCAAUGUUUUUAUUGUCUAGACACCUCAGUUAGAAAAUGAAAUUGUCUUGAUAAGAUAUUUUAGUUUGUUGGUAUAUUUGGUAAGAAUUGCCACUGUGAAAGCCCAGCCAGGCAUUCUGCCUAUAAUUUUGGUUGCUUAUGAAGUAGUAAUUUGAGCUAUUGUUACUUUUUUUUCUUGUCAGUUUGGAACAGAUGGGAUGAGUAUGACUUUUAAGCGGAUACAAGGACAGCUUUAUUCUUCGGCGCCAAGAAUGGAGGUUCUUCCCUGAUAAGGGACCAGUGGCUCAAGAGUUAACUGGCUUAUCCAAUUCACAAACAGAGGAACUAUUAUUAGAAAGAACCUACCAUUCCAUCACCUCCUCCGUUAGCAAAUUGCACAGCUAAGUUUAUUGGACCUGCUGCUGUAAGAGAGAACACCUCCUUGCCAGUAGUUCUGAGAAAGGGUGAGUCAAAGAGAGCCUCAGCUGGGUGAUUUUAAGUCUUACCUUUGUGGAGCAAGAAUUUCCUGGAGCAAGUAUUUCCUGGAAUAAGUAGCUAAGUUAUCUUUGAUUGUUCUCAGUACUGUUUACUAUAGGGUCAGAAAUAUAUGGUCGGUCCCAGAAUUGAUCAACACUGAGACAGGAAAUUAUGUUGCUUUUAGCUCCACCACCAGUUUAACAGAGAACGUAUUUUAAACAUCUAUUAUGCUGAUUAAACAAACUAAUAAUUUCACGAACUGGACAACUCAUUUCCAUACUUACUGUUCCAAUUUAGCUAAGUCACCUGGAUGUUGUUGGGAAAUAGAGAUAAAGGAGGCAACUUCUGGACUGUGGCCUUUCUCAUAAAUGCUUGCUGACUGGCCUGGAACAUGAGUUCUUGACUGUCCUGAGGUGUAGCUUGAACCAACCAAUAUGUACACACCAUCUGUGUUGAAAUAUUUUGAAGUGCAUUAUAGAUACACUCUGGUAAUAUGUAUCUAGCUGCUGAAGGGAUCCCUCUGACCAGCCUGCAUCCAGGCUGUCCGGGCCCAACACGCUAUAGUAAUCAAGUUCUGAAUAUGACUGUGAAAAAACUGCAUGAACCAUAAUGAUUUGGAGCAAGAAGGGAGAUCAUUUUGAAUGGGGGAGCAUCUUAAAAUAGAUGCAUUGUCAUGAGAAGAGUUGCAGAAUGUGUAUGGGUGGUGUGUGUGUG